AGUGAACGCUGGCGGUAGGCCUAACACAUGCAAGUCGAACGGCAGCACAGUAAGAGCUUGCUCUUACGGGUGGCGAGUGGCGGACGGGUGAGGAAUACAUCGGAAUCUACUUUUUCGUGGGGGAUAACGUAGGGAAACUUACGCUCAUACCGCAUACGACCUACGGGUGAAAGCAGGGGAUCUUCGGACCUUGCGCGAUUGAAUGAGCCGAUGUCGGAUUAGCUAGUUGGCGGGGUAAAGGCCCACCAAGGCGACGAUCCGUAGCUGGUCUGGGAGGAUGAUCAGCCACACUGGAACUGAGACACGGUCCAGACUCCUAAGGGAGGCAGCAGUGGGGAAUAUUGGACAAUGGGCGCAAGCCUGAUCCAGCCAUACCGCGUGGGUGAAGAAGGCCUUCGGGUUGUAAAGCCCUUUUGUUGGGAAAGAAAAGCAGCAGGUUAAUACCCCGCUGUUCUGACGGUACCCAAAGAAUAAGCACCGGCUAACUUCGUG
rnacentral:rRNA from 1 species